CGGCGGGUGAGGGGCGGAAAUUCGGGGCGCUUUUGAGGGAUGGCACAGAAGGAGAACGUGGCCCCCAGCCUGACCAAGAGUUUGGUCCCUCCCCCCCUGCGGGUGCCCUGCAAGGACCCCCCGGGCUCGGAGCCCCCCGGGAAGGCUCUGCCAGGAGCCGGGCGGGUGCCCCUGGAGCCCAGCGCCGUGCCACCC